AUGAUAGUGUCGAACCAAGUGGAACAAAGAAAGAAGAUCUGAAUGACAAAAAGAAAAAAGAUGAAGAAGAAACUCCUGCACCUGUAUAUAGGGCCAAGUCAAUUCUGGACAGCUGGGUAUGGGGCAAGCAACCAGGUAAUCUUCUGAGUUUUGGCACUUUGAAAAGCUUGAUCUGAUGCUCCUUUUCUAAAUGACUUGGAUGGAUUAUUUGUAUUUUUUCAUAACAAUUUAAAAAAUGUAAUUAAAAAAAUUUACAUAUUGUGGUAAAAUAUACAUACCAUAAAACUUGCCG
rnacentral:sRNA from 1 species